CCAUAGCUGCCGCAGGUGUUUACGGUGGAGGUGUCGCCAUCAAAAACCAUCAGCAAAAAAACCACCAAGUCAAUGAUACAAGUACAAGAAGAAGUUUUGCCAUGCAAUAGUCGACCGCUAACGCCCUUUUCGAUCAAUUUCGUGUAAAGAGUACUACCAGAGACGCAAGAAUACAAUCCAAAAAGUUUCAGCCUUGACUGUAAAUUAAGUGAAUUUAAUUCAAACACUAAGGAUUGCACUGGCUUAACGGUGGCAAUCAUUCGGAGCAAAUGGGCUGGCCCGACAAGAAUCCCCUUUAAGUUAAACAGAUUCAGAUCAGUCGCUCGGCGAUUACUGACGAUGUCGGCUAGUUGAAUCCAUCGAUUUUCACACAGAAAAUCAACAUCAAAAACAUCAAGAAAAUUCAGCAGCGUCAUGGCCAACCUGCCUAUUAACCAACCCAUCUCUAUUCGCAGUGGAAGUGUUUGUGGAUCAAGCGAUCUCUGCGUGUCAACAAUGCGAACACAAUGUCAUUAGGCCGGAGUACCAACCUGGACCCUUGUAUUGCAUAUAUCGAAAGUUUUGCCAUGUGUCUUUAAAGUUUUAGAGAGUUUCAUGAAAUUGGAUAGCCUCUAAAAGCCGUAUAUGUGUGCUACGCGUAUGUCACAAAGCUAUAAUAAAAUUAGUUUUGAUAUUUAAGGAAAUAUUAUUUAAAAAUGCGUUUUUUAACAACUUUCAGGCUUUGAAGGGGCUAUUAAAAUCUUUUAUGUUUUGUUAAGUUCUAGGGUGAGGAAAAUAGGGAAGGAUUUGAGGAGAUACAGUUGCACAUUGGUCUUUAAGUUUUGAAUAUGAAAUGAGGGAAGAACAGAGUUGACUGAAGAAGAUACUACCCUGUAUUCAUAUUGUAAAUAUAUUUGUUUGAAGAAUCUUAAUGAUUGUUUAUGUAUGUUAUUCAAUACUUGCCAUUUGUAGUCCAUUUAAUUUUAAACUUACUUUGCUUAGUUAAUCGUUACAUGCCUCUAUUGAAAAUAAAUAUUUUUUCUUUUCAAUUCAUAA